rnacentral:rRNA from 1 species
GGUAGCCGGCCUGAGAGGGCGACCGGCCACACUGGGACUGAGACACGGCCCAGACUCCUACGGGAGGCAGCAGUGGGGAAUAUUGGGCAAUGGANGNAACUCUGACCCAGCGACGCCGCGUGCGGGAUGAAGGCCUUCGGGUUGUAAACCGCUUUCAGCANGGAAGAAGCGAAAGUGACGGUACYUGCAGAAGAAGCACCGGCUAACUAUGUGCCAGCAGCCGCGGUAAUACAUAGGGUGCAAGCGUUGUCCGGAAUUAUUGGGCGUAAAGAGCUCGUAGGUGGUUCGUYACGUCGGAUGUGAAAAUCUGGGGCUYAACCCCAGACCUGCAUYCGAUACGGGCGAGCUWGAGUKUGGUAGGG